GUGCUCACUUCAGCAGCACAUAUACUAAAAUUGGAAUGAUACAGAGAAGAUUAUCAUGGCCCUUGCACAAGGAUGACACGCAAAUUUGUGAAGCGUUCCAUAUUUUU
ensembl:snRNA U6 U6 spliceosomal RNA